rnacentral:lncRNA from 1 species
CACACUAUCUUAGCUAAAGUCUUCCGAAUUAAAUCUCAUAAAUCACAUAAGACUACUGCUUUUCUACUAAGAUUGAUAGAUCUCAUUUUGGUGUAUACCCUAUUCCUACAAUGAAUCUAUUGCAACCAAUAUAUACCUCAUGGUUCUAUAUAGCUAGGAGAUCGAGUUAUGGUGUAGUCAAACUAUAGCAACCUCAUUGAAAUAGUCGAGGCACCGUAGGUCUAAGAACUACUCACACAUA